UGUCGGCGCUGAGUUCGAUGAAGGGAAACGGGAAUGAAGAGUGAAUGCGACGUAGGGUUUGGAAUCAGAAGAAUAGGACGACGGAGAAGAUGAGAGAAGAGCGUAACGAAAGAGUCAAGGACGAAAAAGGAGUAAAUGCUCACGAAUCGCGGAUGGAACAUCUAUUUCUUCUUCUACAGAGGGCUUGGGGGUUGACUGUAAUAUUGGGAAUCUAUUCAUCACCAAAGUUGCUCCUUAUACACCCUGAAAUGAUUAUUUGAUGCCCACAAAAUUGAAGGAUCAUGGUUUUGUGGUUUUAAAUGGAGAAGUCAAUUGCCUCAAUUUGGCCACAGAAAGCAUACAGAGAGCUGAACCUAAAACAGAUGAAGUAUAUGAUCAGACAACUUUGCUUCCUGAAGCAGAUGUCAGUGUGCUCUGACUUCAGCCAUUGGAUUGAUUGGUACAUCAAUUAAGGAACUACACCUGAGAGCUAAGAAUCAGAGUAAGAGAUUCCUACUGCUAACCUUAUUUUAAAA